rnacentral:rRNA from 1 species
ACGCUCGACACCUACGGGGGGCAGCAGUAGGGAAUCUUCCACAAUGGACGCAAGUCUGAUGGAGCAACGCCGCGUGAGUGAAGAAGGUCUUCGGAUCGUAAAACUCUGUUGUUAGAGAAGAACACGAGUGAGAGUAACUGUUCAUUCGAUGACGGUAUCUAACCAGCAAGUCACAGCUAACUACGUGUCAGCAGCCGCGGUAAUCUGAGCGGGCUGGCAAGGC